UGUAUCAUAACAAAGCCUGUCACUUCCACGUUUCGUUCUUUAUGUGACCGAAGUCACUGGCUACUGCACCAGAGAGGGUCUCUGCACUCAUUGCUGGUCCUAUAAUGCCAUCUAUUGGCGAAAACGUGCAACAGCAUAAUUAAACUAAAAGACAACUUCUGACAGGACAACAAAAAGACAGGGAGUGAGAAUAAGGGAAUAACAAAAAGCCGAAAAUGGGGGGUCCACUACACUUGCAUACCUGAUUGUGAUGCUGUCACUCAUUUUCUAGUCUAUAUCUUGGACUGAAAAAGGAUUACAUUAUUAUGUUUUCAGGUGUUUUGCCCCUGCGGUUGUGAAGAGGAUGCUGUGGAGGUGGCAGCAUGAACGUGUCACACAGACAUUGGCUAAACUACUCGGCUUCUACACUUGCCCUCAGAGUUCACAUAUGGUGAAGUGCACAGGUGUCCAGUCAGGUUCAGACUGAUGCUGGUAACAAGAGGAAAACAUGCUAAUUGAUGACCUUUCCAGCAUGUCCAACUCAUCAGCAUCAGGGGAGGAGAGUCGGUGAAGGUGGUGCACCAUCCAGGACCAGUCAUGGGCCACCAACACCUCUGCAAAAUCUGCACUUCUUGUGAACCCUCUAGAAGACACUACAACCACAAAACUGCUAAUAAACCAUCACAUACUACAUCA